rnacentral:misc_RNA from 1 species
UGAUUAGCGAGUGCUCCACUGGAACGCUAUUUCGAGUUCUGGGUUGUGAACGAUUCUAAGUAAAACAGUUCGUCUCACUUCCAGAAAGACUUCUAUUCUCACACCAUACAAAGAUAUAAGGCUCCCGAGAAAAAGGUGUUCUUGGCGGCACCACUUUAAGUGCUCGCAAGAAUGAUUCCACCUAGAAAUAUAGACGAGCUACUUCUCAGGUUACGGAAAUUUGCUCCAGAAGAAUCCGUGGCAGACACUUCAGCCCGGGCGGUAACCAUGGCUGGUAACAGCGGCGCUGUAAGUGCUCCACCCGGGAUUGCUAGUGUUUCCGGAGCAACGACAGUGGGAUCUAACAUCACUUCUGUUCCGGAGGAAAAUUUCGGCGAAAAAAUGCUUCACAAAAUAAUGGAUAAGACACAUCUUCCACUCUUUGUCAUUAUUCUUAUCCUGAUUGGAAUCGCUCUUCUGUUUUUGUGUAUCUGUUACUGCUGUCUAAGACGUUGGUGUAGGAGGCGGAAGAAAGACGGAAAGAAAGGCUUGAAAGGAGCAGUAGACUUCAAAAGCGUGCAGCUUUUGGGAAAUGCGUACAAGGAAAAGGUACAGCCGGAUAUGGAAGAAUUACAAGAUAAUAUGGAGGAUAAUGAAGGAGAAGAAGAAAGCGCCAAGUCUGAAGUGAAAUUAGGUCGCCUCCAGUACAAGUUAGAUUACGACUUUAAUACCAGUAACUUAGCAGUGACAGUAAUUCAAGCAGAGGAUCUUCCAGGAAUGGAUAUGUCUGGUACAUCGGAUCCUUAUGUCAAGGUGUAUAUGUUGCCCGACAAGAAGAAGAAAUACGAAACUAAAGUUCACCGAAAGACACUAAACCCUGUGUUUAACGAGACCUUCAAUUUCAAGAUACCUUACUCUGAAAUUACUUCUAAAACUCUGGUAUUCGCCAUCUUUGACUUUGACCGUUUCUCGAAGCACGAUCAAAUAGGAGAAGUCAAGCUACCUCUAAACACACUAGACUUAGCCCAGACUAUCGAAGAAUGGCGAGAUCUUACUAGCGUAGAGGGAGAGCAAGGACAGGAAAAUAAGUUGGGAGAUAUUUGCUUUUCCUUACGUUAUGUGCCCACAGCUGGAAAACUUACAGUUGUAAUUCUCGAGGCUAAAAAUCUGAAGAAAAUGGACGUUGGUGGCUUGUCAGAUCCGUAUGUGAAAAUAGCUUUGAUGAUGAAUGGCAAGAGAAUCAAGAAGAAGAAGACGAGUAUCAAGAAGUGCACACUCAACCCCUAUUAUAAUGAGUCAUUUACAUUUGAGGUACCAUUCGAACAAAUUCAGAUCCCUUUUUCUUUGGCGACCUGCGCAGUGAAGAUUUAAAGGAUCCCUGUAAAGAUGAGACAGAAAUUUAAAGGAAAUCUGGAUGAGAGACGACAAGAACAGGAACUAAAGAAAAUUAAAUUCUAUCAUGACAGCUGAAGACGACAGGUAUCUAGAGGCACGGCAAUGAGCCCGGUCAAGGUAUUACAAGAAAUGCUGAAGCAACAUUACUGGACUUUUUGAACGAAUCGGAGGUAUUACAACAUAACUUACUACUUUUGUAAUUCCAAUGUUCUUAGGUUCUGUUGCGUUAUGUUAAAAGCAGUAACUUCAUAGAUAUUUUAGAAAUGAACUGUCUAGAAGUGUUAUGAUUAUUGUUGGUUUUGUUCUGCAGCUUUGUGGCCCUGGAGUCCAUAACUUGCAAAAAUCAAAUAUAAUGAUACAUUUCCGUUAAAUUCAAGUUUUGUUGGAAAUGUUAAUGAAAACUCAAGUUGUAAAAUUUAAUCAAAUCAUUUUACAUGUACAUAACCAGCCACUCUAAAAUGAGUUAAAUUAUAUAAAAGGGUAAACCUUGUUAAGAUGUUGUAUACAAAUUGGACAAGUUAAAGACGAAAAAAUGUGGAAUACUUAGGCUCGGUUUUUUAUUUCAACAAGAAUAAGCAGCAACAUAAAUAUAAAAAGAAGUCCAGAACUGACCACCAAUUCUUGGGCUAAUAUUAUCUGGUCAAAUAAAGAAGUCCAGAACUUACCCACAACUAUUGGGCUAAUGUUCUCUGAUCAAAUAAAGAAGUCCAGAACUGACCAUCAACUCUUGGGCUAAUAUUGAUGAUCAAAUAAAGAAGUCUAUAACUGACCACCAACUCUUAGACUAAUAUUGUCUGAUCAAAUAAAGGGAAGUCCAGAACUGACCACUAACUCUUGGGCUAAUAUUGUCUGAUCAAAUGGUUCGAUUUAAUCGUCACUCCUAUAGUACACCCACGGCCUCAAAGAGCGGUGUGUGUUUCUAAGGAAACGGUUCGUGAAACAAGAAUGUCUGAGCACACUAAUCACUAUGACAGGCAAUGCCUAAAACUGAUUGUUGUUUUUCUGUGAAUGACUUUGUUAGAAAUAAUUGUAUGACACUCUUGUCAUUUCUAGGAAUACAUAGACAGCUGUCACAGUUCUAAUCGAUAUUCUGACUAAUAUUAUGGACUAAGUGUACAAUAACAUUUUUCGAGGCUUUAUUUACGCAGUUUUCUGUAGAAUAGCGGGGUAUUUGGUAUAAGUAUUGUCUUUGUAAAUGUAAUUUCACAUUUCUUUUAUUUAUCUGACGAUGUUAAGUCGUUCUAUAUUAUUUUUGUAGGUCUGGAUUGUCAAGGUUUCUUAUCUUGACGAAAAUCCUUUUAGAUUUGGUAAAUGAGGGAAAGAAGGAACCUUAACGUAGAGAGUACCAGUCUUAAACAAUUAUGCAUUAACGACACCUUACGACUGUAUAUUUUCUAUAGUCAAAGUUCAUUAUCAGGGCUUGAGUAAAUAACAUCCAAAUAUUGAUACUUGAAUAUUAAUAAUACUUUUUGGUUAUCAAUAUAUAUAAUUAAUUUCAAAUACUAUUGAAUUAAAGUUGAAUAGGCUGUUAUUUAAACAAUUAUCGUUUAUCAGUAUUGUAAUUAUACCUAAAUAUAUUCAUUAUUGAUUAAAUAUUAAGGAAAUAACGAAUUAAACUGACCACGUAACUCUUACUAUCCCCAAAUUGACCUGAAAGUUAUUAUGAAACCCAUUUUCAGGCUACAAAAUGUUUUUCCGCAACAAAGAUCGUUUGCAGACUGCUUAUUGUUCAGAUCUCGUCUACUUAUACACGUGCGGAAACUGUAAGGCCUCCUAUGUUGGUGAAAUCAAAUGUCACCUUAAAGUACGAGCAUGUGAACACGCGGACAUAUCUAUAAAAACUGGAAGAAAGGUUACAAACCCUCCCAA